UACGUAGGGUGCAAGCGUUGUCCGGAAUUAUUGGGCGUAAAGAGCUCGUAGGCGGUCUGUCGCGUCGGAUGUGAAAAUCAGGGCUCAACCCUGGACCUGCAUUCGAUACGGGCAGACUAGAGUUCGGUAGGGGAGACUGGAAUUCCUGGUGUAGCGGUGAAAUGCGCAGAUAUCAGGAGGAACACCGAUGGCGAAGGCAGGUCUCUGGGCAUUAACUGACGCUGAGGAGCGAAACGCAUGGGGAGCGAACAGGAUUAGACUACCCAG
rnacentral:rRNA from 1 species